UUGACUCUAUUUCUUGUUAAGGCUAUCAGACAUUCUCCAUGAUGUGGACUGAGACUCAUACCUUCGGUCUUUCUGGUACAAAGGUGGUGUCUCAGUGGGCCUUUACACAGCUUACAUUACCACUUUGUGCUGUAUGAUGCACUUGACGCUCACUUGCAGAUAGAAAAAAAAUAUUCUUCACGAACAGAGAACCCCGUAGACUCAACAGAGAAAUCCAAACACCCCUCUGUGAAGUGUUUCUGGAGUUUAUCCCCUGCUGAAAGUCUCCUCUAAGGAUUGUGAUGGACCUUGACAUUCUCAUAUGUACUGAAUGUGAUUUUUUUAGUGGUAAUGAUUGGAAUACGUAGAGUGAUAUUUCAUGACCUUUGUAACCUCACUUGCAGUAUUGUGCUGAAUACAUCAAACAGAUGUUUGAAUUCCUGAGCAAAGUUAUAAUGCGUGAAACUGUUGUAUGAAAGACCUUCAACUCAUUUUCUAGACACACUUUGCUAUUAUGAUCUUCAAGAAAUCUCUAUAAGGUCCUUGAUAAACUAGACAAAUGCUGUACGUCAAGAUGGUUUUUGUCAAUAUGAUUCGAUCUUUGUUGAAAUAUGCUUGUUUAUAAAACCUUAAGAAAUAUGAAUUAGUGCAAACAAGUGAUCAGCACCAUCUAUUUCACAGAUAUUUAUUUUAGCUUUAUUUUCAAGUCUCCUCUGUGCUACAAUUUUACAAUAUAUUCUGAAACUGAUAUACUAGAUACUGGAGGUAAGGGACAUGUUAAAAUGCAAUCAAUUCCCAGUCCUCUCUGAUUUGUUGUUUUGUUUUUUUUUCUUUUUUGAAGUGCGGAAACAAAAUAGAUCUUGAAUUUAUGUGCACUGUUUGCCUCAUUCCUUGGACUCUGAUAUGAAAAGUAGACAAAUGUUGAAAUCAUGCAGACAUCUGUAAAAUAAAUGAAAGCAGGUUUCCCA
rnacentral:lncRNA from 1 species